UCUCCGUUGGUGAACCAGCGGAGGGAUCAUUAUAGAGUUUUCUAAACUCCCAACCCAUGUGAACCGAAACCUGUUGCUUCGGGGGCGACCCUGCCUUUCGGCGCGGCGCCCCCGGAGGCUCAUCAAACACUGCAUCUUUGCGUCGGAGUCUUAAUGAAUUUAAACAAAACUUUUAACAACGGAUCUCUUGGUUCUGGCAUCGAUGAAGAACGCAGC
rnacentral:misc_RNA from 1 species